CUUCUUUUCUACAUUCUACAGGCCCAGCUUCUUCUGAGAAGUUCGGCAGCAAGGAAGUCUAUUCCCUUGGAUUCUAUUUGGAUUCCUUACCACCGGGGAUUCCCCUAUCCUCACUCUAGGAACAGUAGGAACAUACUGAGGCUAAAGUAGCCGCAGUCUUUGAGUAAGUUGCUAUUGAGCUCAGCCCCUGGUAACAUACUAAAGAAUCAUAUCCUGAGGACUAAAGAAAAGCUGCCUUGGAAUCGAAUCUGAAACUUUGAAAU
rnacentral:lncRNA from 1 species